GGCGCUGUUGCAGAUGGUUCUUCUGCCGAUAGUCUGCAAAACUAUUCGAUAGAGGGUUCAAUUCCCUCCAGUGCCUC
rnacentral:tRNA from 1 species